CUCGUUGUGCGACCGACGACAGCCUAGGAAAACAUGCGUCAUUGGCAACGAUGAGGUGUGAAGCUUUUCCAACAACGUAGCCCCCAAACGGGUCUGCACUUGCUGCGAGGCAAUGCAGAGAUGCUCGGAGCAGUACCGGGUUGAGGCG
rnacentral:ncRNA from 1 species